GAUGAACGCUGGCGGCGUGCCUAAUACAUGCAAGUCGAGCGAACGGACGAGAAGCUUGCUUCUCUGAUGUUAGCGGCGGACGGGUGAGUAACACGUGGAUAACCUACCUAUAAGACUGGGAUAACUUCGGGAAACCGGAGCUAAUACCGGAUAAUAUUUUGAACCGCAUGGUUCAAAAGUGAAAGACGGUCUUGCUGUCACUUAUAGAUGGAUCCGCGCUGCAUUAGCUAGUUGGUAAGGUAACGGCUUACCAAGGCAACGAUGCAUAGCCGACCUGAGAGGGGGAUCGGCCACACUGGAACUGAGACACGGGCCAGACUCCUACGGGAGGCAGCAGUAGGGAAUCUUCCGCAAUGGGCGAAAGCCUGACGGAGCAACGCCGCGUGAGUGAUGAAGGUCUUCGGAUCGUAAAACUCUGUUAUUAGGGAAGAACAUAUGUGUAAGUAACUGUGCACAUCUUGACGGUACCUAAUCAGAAAGCCACGGCUAACUACGUG
rnacentral:rRNA from 1 species